GGUUAAGUUAGAAAGGGCGCACGGUGGAUGCCUUGACACUAGGAGUCGAUGAAGGACGGGACUAACGCCGAUAUGCUUCGGGGAGCUGUAAGUAAGCUUUGAUCCGAAGAUUUCCGAAUGGGGAAACCCACCAUACGUAAUGGUAUGGUAUCCUUAUCUGAAUACAUAGGGUAAGGAAGACAGACCCAGGGAACUGAAACAUCUAAGUACCUGGAGGAAGAGAAAGCAAAUGCGAUUUCCUGAGUAGCGGCGAGCGAAACGGAACAUAGCCCAAACCAAGAGGCUUGCCUCUUGGGGUUGUAGGACAUUCUAUACGGAGUUACAAAGGAACGAGGUAGACGAAGCGACCUGGAAAGGUCCGUCGUAGAGGGUAACAACCCCGUAGUCGAAACUUCGUUCUCUCUUGAAUGUAUCCUGAGUACGGCGGAACACGUGAAAUUCCGUCGGAAUCUGGGAGGACCAUCUCCCAAGGCUAAAUACUCCCUAGUGAUCGAUAGUGAACCAGUACCGUGAGGGAAAGGUGAAAAGCACCCCGGAAGGGGAGUGAAAGAGAUCCUGAAACCGUGUGCCUACAAAUAGUCAGAGCCCGUUAACGGGUGAUGGCGUGCCUUUUGUAGAAUGAACCGGCGAGUUACGAUCCCGUGCGAGGUUAAGCUGAAGAGGCGGAGCCACAGCGAAAGCGAGUCUGAAUAGGGCGUUUAGUACGUGGUCGUAGACCCGAAACCAGGUGAUCUACCCAUGUCCAGGGUGAAGUUCAGGUAACACUGAAUGGAGGCCCGAACCCACGCACGUUGAAAAGUGCGGGGAUGAGGUGUGGGUAGCGGAGAAAUUCCAAUCGAACCUGGAGAUAGCUGGUUCUCCCCGAAAUAGCUUUAGGGCUAGCCUUAAGUGUAAGAGUCUUGGAGGUAGAGCACUGAUUGGACUAGGGGUCCUCAUCGGAUUACCGAAUUCAGUCAAACUCCGAAUGCCAAUGACUUAUCCUUAGGAGUCAGACUGCGAGUGAUAAGAUCCGUAGUCAAAAGGGAAACAGCCCAGACCGCCAGCUAAGGUCCCAAAGUGUGUAUUAAGUGGAAAAGGAUGUGGAGUUGCUUAGACAACUAGGAUGUUGGCUUAGAAGCAGCCACCAUUUGAAGAGUGCGUAAUAGCUCACUAGUCGAGUGACUCUGCGCCGAAAAUGUACCGGGGCUAAAUACACCACCGAAGCUGCGGAUUGAUACCAAUGGUAUCAGUGGUAGGGGAGCGUUCUAAGGACAGUGAAGUCAGACCGGAAGGACUGGUGGAGUGCUUAGAAGUGAGAAUGCCGGUAUGAGUAGCGAAAGACGGGUGAGAAUCCCGUCCACCGAAUGCCUAAGGUUUCCUGAGGAAGGCUCGUCCGCUCAGGGUUAGUCAGGACCUAAGCCGAGGCCGACAGGCGUAGGCGAUGGACAACAGGUUGAUAUUCCUGUACCACCUCUUUAUCGUUUGAGCAAUGGAGGGACGCAGAAGGAUAGAAGAAGCGUGCGAUUGGUUGUGCACGUCCAAGCAGUUAGGCUGAUAAGUAGGCAAAUCCGCUUAUCGUAAAGGCUGAGCUGUGAUGGGGAAGCUCCUUAUGGAGCGAAGUCUUUGAUUCCCCGCUGCCAAGAAAAGCUUCUAGCGAGAUAAAAGGUGCCUGUACCGCAAACCGACACAGGUAGGCGAGGAGAGAAUCCUAAGGUGUGCGAGAGAACUCUGGUUAAGGAACUCGGCAAAAUGACCCCGUAACUUCGGGAGAAGGGGUGCUUUCUUAACGGAAAGCCGCAGUGAAUAGGCCCAAGCGACUGUUUAGCAAAAACACAGCUCUCUGCGAAGCCGUAAGGCGAAGUAUAGGGGGUGACACCUGCCCGGUGCUGGAAGGUUAAGGAGAGGGGUUAGCGUAAGCGAAGCUCUGAACUGAAGCCCCAGUAAACGGCGGCCGUAACUAUAACGGUCCUAAGGUAGCGAAAUUCCUUGUCGGGUAAGUUCCGACCCGCACGAAAGGUGUAACGAUUUGGGCACUGUCUCAACCAGAGACUCGGUGAAAUUAUAGUACCUGUGAAGAUGCAGGUUACCCGCGACAGGACGGAAAGACCCCGUGGAGCUUUACUGUAGCCUGAUAUUGAAUUUUGGUACAGUUUGUACAGGAUAGGCGGGAGCCAUUGAAACCGGAGCGCUAGCUUCGGUGGAGGCGCUGGUGGGAUACCGCCCUGACUGUAUUGAAAUUCUAACCUACGGGUCUUAUCGACCCGGGAGACAGUGUCAGGUGGGCAGUUUGACUGGGGCGGUCGCCUCCUAAAGUGUAACGGAGGCGCCCAAAGGUUCCCUCAGAAUGGUUGGAAAUCAUUCGUAGAGUGCAAAGGCAUAAGGGAGCUUGACUGCGAGACCUACAAGUCGAGCAGGGACGAAAGUCGGGCUUAGUGAUCCGGUGGUUCCGCAUGGAAGGGCCAUCGCUCAACGGAUAAAAGCUACCCCGGGGAUAACAGGCUUAUCUCCCCCAAGAGUCCACAUCGACGGGGAGGUUUGGCACCUCGAUGUCGGCUCAUCGCAUCCUGGGGCUGUAGUCGGUCCCAAGGGUUGGGCUGUUCGCCCAUUAAAGCGGUACGCGAGCUGGGUUCAGAACGUCGUGAGACAGUUCGGUCCCUAUCCGUCGUGGGCGUAGGAAAUUUGAGAGGAGCUGUCCUUAGUACGAGAGGACCGGGAUGGACGCACCGCUGGUGUACCAGUUGUUCUGCCAAGGGCAUAGCUGGGUAGCUAUGUGCGGAAGGGAUAAGUGCUGAAAGCAUCUAAGCAUGAAGCCCCCCUCAAGAUGAGAUUUCCCAUAGCGUAAGCUAGUAAGAUCCCUGAAAGAUGAUCAGGUUGAUAGGUUCGAGGUGGAAGCAUGGUGACAUGUGGAGCUGACGAAUACUAAUAGAUCGAGGACUUAACCAU
rnacentral:rRNA from 1 species